rnacentral:tRNA from 1 species
GGAGCGGUAGUUCAGUUGGUUAGAAUACCUGCCUGUCACGCAGGGUGUCGCGGGUUCGAGUCCCGUCCGUUCCGCCA